rfam:Trichobilharzia regenti genome assembly, scaffold: TRE_scaffold0013198
AUCCAGCUUGCGGACGAGUUCCAAAUAGGACGAAAUGAGCAUCCUGGAU